UGGGGAAUAUUGCACAAUGGGCGCAAGCCUGAUGCAGCCAUGCCGCGUGUGUGAAGAAGGCCUUCGGGUUGUAAAGCACUUUCAGCGAGGAGGAAGGUGGUGAGCUUAAUACGCUCAUCAAUUGACGUUACUCGCAGAAGAAGCACCGGCUAACUCCGUGCCAGCAGCCGCGGUAAUACGGAGGGUGCAAGCGUUAAUCGGAAUUACUGGGCGUAAAGCGCACGCAGGCGGUUUGUUAAGUCAGAUGUGAAAUCCCCGGGCUCAACCUGGGAACUGCAUUUGAAACUGGCAAGCUAGAGUCUCGUAGAGGGGGGUAGAAUUCCAGGUGUAGCGGUGAAAUGCGUAGAGAUCUGGAGGAAUACCGGUGGCGAAGGCGGCCCCCUGGACGAAGACUGACGCUCAGGUGCGAAAGCGUGGGGAGCAAACAGAAUUAGAUACCCUGGUAGUCCACGCUGUAAAACGAUGUCGAUUUUGGAGGUUGUGCCCUUGAGGCGUGGCUUCCGGAGCUAACGCGUUAAAUCGACCGCCUGGGGAGUACGGCCGCAAGGUUAAAACUUAAAGGAAUUGACGGGGUC
rnacentral:rRNA from 1 species